ACAUGCCUACAACAUAGCGUUAAUGCACCGGAUCCCAUUAGAACUCUACAGUUAAGUGCGCUCAGGAUAGAGUAGUACUGGGAUGGGUGACCGCCCGAGAAGUCCUAGUGUUUUACAUGCC
rnacentral:rRNA from 1 species